AUCCUGCUCAUGCUCUGUCUCUGUCUCUCUGUCUCUCAAAAAUAAAUAAACAUUAAGAAAAAUUUUUUUAAAAUAAGUAAGUAAAUAUUUAAAAAAAAUUUUUUUUAAUGGCACUAUGACUUCAUUGGCUUUGUGCCACUAUUUGACCAAGGCUUAUAGCAUAAUAUACUGGGAACCAGGGCAAAAUAGAUUACCAGUUUAAUAAAACAUAUGUCUUAGAGGUUUAUCAUAUUUCUUAUUAGCAAUUUUCCCAUUCAGCUGCUCAUCAUAAUUCAUCAUGUUUGUGGAUUACCCAAUCCCAGCAUAGACAGAGUCACGCUGUGUAUUUAUUUGCACUGGAUUCCUGGUUAAUGUUUCACUUACAACGUUCUUUUCCCCCCCGAGUUUAAAAGUAUUCAGCAUACUGAUUUAAUUAACUUUCAGCUAACUAAUUGAAUUCCUGAAUUGUAUUACUGAUCUACUUUUGCGAAUUUAAAAUACAACAUAACACAAUACAUUUCAAAUUUAACACAUAAACAAUAACACAUAUUGUGAAACAACAUGUCCACACCCUACUAAUUGCACAUUACCUGAGACAAACUGUAGAGCUAACGCAACCUAAACCUUAAGAGCAAAAUGAUUAUUGAGAGUAUAACAGGAUUUCUGAGAAAAUCAUACUUAACAUGACAUCUAAAGUUUGUGAAAUAGGUGUGAAUAAAGCUUCUCAUCCCAAUAAAAUAGCCUGUAGACAACUUAAUGGGCCCCUGGGUCCAGAGACCACAUAUUGGAAGAAGGCUGAUAGAUGGGGAAGGAAAAAAAAAAAAAAAAAAAAAAAAUAUAUAUAUAUAUAUAUAUAUAUAUAUAUAUAUAUAUUGCAGAGUCACGUGACCAGAGGACUCAUUGAAAUAAAAAAAUGUAAAUGGAUGAAAAGGCGAAAAAUUGAAAGGAAAUGUACAGUAUGAUCCCAUUUAUGUAAAAAAGUGAGUGUAAAUUUUAAGUACAUAGGAAGAAAGCACUGGAAGGAAAAAUUAUCAGUGAUCAGCCUAGGGAGGGGAGGGGCUAGGAGAGCAAAGGGAACCUUCAUGUUCUACUCUCUAUAUGCGUAUCUUUUUUUUUAAUGUUUAUUAUUUAUUUUUGAGAGAGAGAGAGAGAGGAAGAAUGCUCAGCAGGCCCUGCACUGUCAGCACAGAGCCUGCCACGGGGCUUGAACCCACGAUCCAUGAAAUCAUGACCUGAGCCAAAAUCAGGAGUCAGACUUAUAACCAGCUGAGCCACCCAGGUGCCCCAUGUAUGCCUCUUAUUAAUUUCAAAUUGUGGUCAAAUACACACAACACAAAAUUUACUAAACUACCUUUAAGUAUAGAGUUCAACAGUGUUAAGUAUAUUCACAUUGUUGUGCAACCAAUCUCUAGAACUCUAUCAUCUGAAAAAGUUGAAACUCUUUACCAAUUAAAUAGCAACUUCCAAUUUCCUUCUUCCCCCAACCCCUGGUGACCAUUUUUCCACUUUCUGUCUCUAUGAAUUUGACUAUUCUAGCUCCCUCGUAUAAGUGGUAUCAUUUCAAUAUUUGUCCAUUUGUAUCUGGUUUAUUUCACUUAACAUAAUGUCUUCAAGGUUCAUUCAUGUUGUAGCCUUUAUCAGAAAUUCAUUUCUUUUUAAGCCUGAAUGAUAUUCCAUUGCAUGUUUAUUCCACAUUUUGUUCAUUCAUUCAUGGACACUUAAGUUGCUUCCACCUUUUGGGUGUUGUGAAUAGUGCUCCUCUGAACACAGGCGUGCAAAUACCUCUUCAAGACCCUUUCAGUUCUUUUCGGCCUUCCUAUUUUGGAAAAAUCGGAAAUUCAUUUUCAACUCAACAAGUAUGGGUGCUAAGGGCAGCAGUUGGAGAUGACACAUGUACACAUCCAUACAUUUUAAAUUCAACAAAUAUUUACUGGGUAUCUAAUACGUGCCAGGUUGUACGUUCGCCACUGGGAAUUUAACAAUGAACAAAUCAUCAAUGCUUUUUCUUUCUUUUUCUUUCUCAUAACAGCUUUAUUGUAGUAUAACUCAGACACCAUACAGUACCCCAAUUGAAGUGUACAAUUCAGUGGUUUUUAGUGUAUUCACAAAGUAGUACAAUUAUCACCAGUAUUUUCAACACCCUUCAAAAGAAACCCCCUAACCAGUAGCAAUCACUCCCCGUUUCUCCCAACCCUCAGCAACCAUUUCAUUCUAUUUUUGCCUAUUCGGACAUUUUGUAUAAAUGGAAUCAUACAGUU